rnacentral:tRNA from 1 species
UGGGGUGUGGCUCAGUGGUAGAGCACUUGCCUAGCAUGCGUGAGGCACUGUGUUUAAUCCUCAGAACUCUAU